UACAGAGGGUGCAAGCGUUAAUCGGAUUUACUGGGCGUAAAGCGUGUGUAGGUGGCCGCGUAAGUCGAUUGUGAAAUCCCUCGGCUCAACCGAGGAAUUGCGCUCAAAACUACUGAGCUUGAGGGGUAUAGAGGUAAGCGGAACUGAUGGUGGAGCGGUGAAAUGCGUUGAUAUCAUCAGGAACACCGGUGGCGAAGGCGGCUUACUUGGUACCUCCUGACGCUGAGGAACGAAAGCUAGGGGAGCGAACGGG
rnacentral:rRNA from 1 species